UACGUAGGGUGCAAGCGUUGUCCGGAAUUAUUGGGCGUAAAGGGCUCGUAGGCGGUCCAUCGCGUCGGGAGUGAAAAGCUGGGGCUUAACCCCAGUCCUGCUUCCGAUACGGGUGGACUAGAGGUAGGUAGGGGAGAUCGGAAUUCCUGGUGUAGCGGUGAAAUGCGCAGAUAUCUGGAGGAACACCGGUGGCGAAGGCGGCAUCCUGGACCGGCAUUGACGCUGAGGAGCGAAAGCCAGGGGAGCAAACGGG
rnacentral:rRNA from 1 species